rnacentral:rRNA from 1 species
GACGAACGCUGGCGGCGUGCUUAACACAUGCAAGUCGAACGGAAAGGCCCUGCUUUUGUGGGGUGCUCGAGUGGCGAACGGGUGAGUAACACGUGAGUAACCUGCCCUUGACUUUGGGAUAACUUCAGGUAACUGGGGCUAAUACCGGACAGGAGCUCCUGCUGCAUGGUGGGGGUUGGAAAGUUUCGGCGGUUGGGGAUGGACUCGCGGCUUACGAGCUUGCUGGUGGGGUAGUGGCUUACCAAGGAAUGGACGGGUCGCCGGCCUGGGAGGGUGAACGGCGACAAGGGGACUGAGAGACGGCGCAGACUGCAACGGGAGGCAGCGGUGGGGAGUAUUACACAGUGAGCGGGAGCCUGAUACGGCGACGCCGCGUGCGUGAUGACGGCCUGCUGGGUGUGAACCGCUUUCGCCUGUGACGAAGCGUGAGUGACGGUAAUGGGUAAAGAAGCACCGGCUAACUACGUG